rnacentral:rRNA from 1 species
GACGAACGCUGGCGGCGUGCUUAACACAUGCAAGUCGAACGGAAAGGCCCUGCUUUUGUGGGGUGCUCGAGUGGCGAACGGGUGAGUAACACGUGAGUAACCUGCCCUUGACUUUGGGAUAACUUCAGGAAACUGGGGCUAAUACCGGAUAGGAGCUCCUGCUGCAUGGUGGGGGUUGGAAAGUUUCGGCGGUUGGGGAUGGACCCGCGGCUUAUCAGCUUGUUGGUGGGGUAGUGGCUUACCAAGGCUUUGACGGGUAGCCGGCCUGAGAGGGUGACCGGCCACAUUGGGACUGAGAUACGGCCCAGACUCCUACGGGAGGCAGCAGUGGGGAAUAUUGCCCAAUGGGCGGAAGCCUGAUGCAGCAACGCCGCGUGCGGGAUGACGGCCUUCGGGUUGUAAACCGCUUUCGCCUGUGACGAAGCGUGAGUGACGGUAAUGGGUAAAGAAGCACCGGCUAACUACGUG